CCUACGGGUGGCAGCAGUGAGGAAUAUUGGUCAAUGGACGAGAGUCUGAACCAGCCAAGUAGCGUGAAGGAUGACUGCCCUAUGGGUUGUAAACUUCUUUUAUAUGGGAAUAAAAUGUUCCACGUGUGGGAUUUUGUAUGUACCAUAUGAAUAAGGAUCGGCUAACUCCGUGCCAGCAGCCGCGGUAAUACGGAGGAUCCGAGCGUUAUCCGGAUUUAUUGGGUUUAAAGGGAGCGUAGGUGGAUUGUUAAGUCAGUUGUGAAAGUUUGCGGCUCAACCGUAAAAUUGCAGUUGAAACUGGCAGUCUUGAGUACAGUAGAGGUGGGCGGAAUUCGUGGUGUAGCGGUGAAAUGCUUAGAUAGCACGAAGAACUCCGAUUGCGAAGGCAGUUCACUGGACUGCAACUGACACUGAGGCUCGAAAGUGUGGGUAUCAAACAGGACUAGAUACCCUAGUAGUC
rnacentral:rRNA from 1 species